rnacentral:pre_miRNA from 1 species
AGUGGAAUUGCUGGGUCCUAUGGUAACUUAUGUUUAACCUGUUUUUAGGAAUUGACAGACUAUUUUCCAAAAUGACUGCACCAUUUUCCAAUUCUAGCAGCAGU